rnacentral:rRNA from 1 species
GUGUCAGCAGCCGCGGUAAGACGAACCGUGCGAACGUUAUUCGGAUUCACUGGGCUUAAAGGGCGCGUAGGCGGCGAUUCAAGUCUGGGGUGAAAGCCUUCGGCUUAACCGGAGAAGUGCCUUGGAUACUGGAUCGCUCGAGGGGGAUAGGGGCAUGCGGAACUUCCGGUGGAGCGGUGAAAUGCGUAGAUAUCGGAAGGAACGCCGGUGGCGAAAGCGGCAUGCUGGGUCCCUUCUGACGCUGAGGCGCGAAAGCCAGGGGAGCAAACGGGAUUAGAAACCCCCGUAGUCC